rnacentral:rRNA from 1 species
AGCAUAAUAAUUUGCCUUUUAAUUAAUGGCUAGUAUGAAUGGAAGAACAAAAAUUAUACUGUCUCUAAAAAUUCCAUAAAAAUUAGUCCGCAAGUGCAGAAACUUGUAUAAAACUAAAGGACAAGAAGACCCUGUAGAGCCUCAAAUUAACAAAUUAUUAAACAAAAUUAAUUUAAAUUUUACUUAAUUUUAAAAUUUCAAGUUGGGGCAACUAAAAUAUACCUCAAUCUAUUUUAAUUAAUAAGAUCUACAAAUCGCUUAAAAUGACCCUUUUUAUGAUCACACGAAUAGGCUACCUCAGGGAUAACAGACUAAUUCUUCUAGAAAGUUCUAAUUAACAGAAGAGAUUGGCACCUCGAUGUUGGCUUAGGGUUUCCUAAUGGCGCAGAAGCUAUAAAGGUGGGUUUGUUCAACCCUUAA